UAAAGUGUUAAAUUGAUUAAGAUUGAUCCUGUCUUUUAAAGUUUUGAUUGAUUAGUUAUUUGGUAAUAUUAGAUAUAAAUUUUUGUGUGUUUAUUUAAUUUAUCUAAAAGGUAAAUUUUGUGUGUAUAUUUGUAGUUUUUAAUUUUGAAUAUUGUGGGAACAUAGAUUCAGUUAAUUGAUUUAGAAUUGUUUAAGGUUGUGCCAGCAUACGCGGUUAUAC
rnacentral:rRNA from 1 species